GGAGAUGACGGCAGUGCUUGAGGACGAUGUUUUCCGCCGGGACCGCGCGGCUGGCGAGAUGGUAACGCCGAGGCGGGGAGCAGCUUCACAGCUCACUGCCCUCCCCGGAGCCACCGCCUGAGCAGCGCUGUGCCCCGGCCGGGCGCCCUCGGCCCCGCUGCCUCGCCUGGGGAGCAGCACGCCCGCUCCGGGGGCUCCUCGGGGACCCGCCGGCUUCCCUGCCGGCUUCCCUGCGCCAUCCUCGGGCAGCCCGUCCCGCACACGUGCCGUGCCAAGUCCCUCUGAUGACACCGCGAAUCUGGGAAUGAAGAACUUCUUGGAGCUGAUUGGAAAUGGCAUUGCGGAGCUGAAACUUAACUGGAGGAAAUACAUCUCCUGAAGAAGAAAAUAUAAUGCACUGUAAGGAUCUGUCUUCUGGUGAAAAAUUCAAGCCUAGAGAAAACUUGUCCGCUUUGUUAGGAAGAAUGGGUUGGACAAUUUUCUUCAGUUCCAAAGGAUAUCUGAAUGCCAUGCUGAGCUUAAUCUCUGCAGCAUGCUCUGUGCUUCUCAUCUCUUCCUGAUGCAUUGCAUGGUUAUUCUGAAGGGGAGGAUAAAGAAACUGGCCACCAAGAUGGUAAUCACUAGUGGAAAUGAAGAAGAUAAAGGCAGUCAAGAAAAGGAAAGCAAAGAAGAAACCAUCUUGGCAAUGCUUGGAAUUAUUGGAACAAUUCUGAAUCUCAUUGUGAUCAUUUUUGUGUAUAUUUAUACAACGUUGUAAACUAGAAGGCAUGCAUAUAGACCAGAUAAAACGGCCAUUAAGAGUGACAACAAACAUUGCUGACUAUUGACAAGUUCUUUAAUCAGAAUUGACUCUGUAUUAUAUUAACACAUCAUAAAAGCACUGCCUGAAGGCAGCGAAGACUGAAGCACAAUUAAUUUAACAAGACUUUUUCACACAGUAAUAAGCUUAACUCUUCUCUCCUGCCCUCUCCCUUUCGGUUUGGUUUUCAGUUUGGAGGAGAAUGACUGCAGUUAUGUAAGUUGUAGCUUUGAAGAAAUCCACCAGAGAUAUGUUGUUUUAACACAAUUUAAAAAAAAAAAAAAGGAAAAGAAAA